UACGUAGGUGGCAAGCGUUGUCCGGAUUUAUUGGGUUUAAAGGGUGCGUAGGCGGCCUAUUAAGUCAGUGCUGAAAUAUCCCGGCUUAACCGGGAGGGUGGCAUUGAUACUGAUGGGCUUGAGUAGAGUUGAGGUUGGCGGAAUUGACGGUGUAGCGGUGAAAUGCGUAGAUAUCGUAAGGAAGACCAGUGGCGAAGGCGAGUCUCUGGACAGUUACUGACGCUGAGGCACGAAGGCCAGGGGAGCAAACGGG
rnacentral:rRNA from 1 species